rnacentral:tRNA from 1 species
GUGGUUAUAGCUCAGAGGUAGAGUGCUCACCUAGUACGUGCGAGGCACUGGGUUUGAUCCUCAGCACCACA